CUAAGCGUACACGGUGGAUGCCCUGGCAGUCAGAGGCGAUGAAGGACGUGCUAAUCUGCGAAAAGCGCCGGCGAGGUGAUAUGAACCCUUGACCCGGCGAUGUCCGAAUGGGGAAACCCAGUGCAAUUCGUUGCACUAUCGUUAACUGAAUACAUAGGUUAACGAGGCGAACCGGGGGAACUGAAACAUCUAAGUACCCCGAGGAAAAGAAAUCA
rnacentral:rRNA from 1 species